rnacentral:lncRNA from 1 species
GAGCCUACACCACAGCCACAGCACCACCAGAUCCGAGCUGCAUCUGCGACCUAUACCACAGCUCAGGGCAAUGCCAGAUACUUAACCCAGUGAGCGAGGCCAGGGAUCAAACCCGCAACCUCAUGGUUCCCAAUAAAUAAUGGUUACUAUUUUUACAUUUAUGCUAUAACUCAAGGACCUACCCAGACAACUUGUGAAAUAGUAAUAAUGCUCCUUUUCCAACUGUAUUAGCAUAUAUACUUUUCCUUUGUUUCUGUAUGGACUUUUCCACUAACGUCCCAUGGUCACGUAUUCCCAUCAUGUUCUCAGUUCAACAUUAGACAUACUUCCCCUUACACAGGCAUGUGUCACAGAUGCCAGAUUAAAUGUGGUCAAUAAAUGAGAGGAACACUACAGGACAAUUCCUCGGUUCCAGAGCAUGGAUUGACAUUUUUUUCAUCAAAGUAUUAUUUAGACUAAAUUGAAUUCCUUAAAAAUAAAAUUGUCCCCAGGAGAAUUCAUGUAUUUAGUGUUUCAUCAUAGGGUCUGAUUUAUGUCCUAUGCACUGUAUAUUUGUUGUUACUGACAUUUCCGUGAUAAAUUUCUACUCUACCUAAAUACAGUGCUUUUGAAUAUAAUUGUCUGUAAAUAAAUACUACUCCAAAAAGCAUCUUCAUGUUAGCACUGACAUUCAUGUCAAAUGCAGUGCAUUUUCCAAUGUUCCACUGUAAACAUAGUCAAAUUGGAGUAAUCGCAGCCUGUUAACAAGAUUAAGACUAUUUAAUAUCAACAUAAAUUGUUAAGCCUAUUUAAAAUAUUUUAUAAUGCUAUAUCUUAUGGUGGAUCUUCUUUAUUCAUUGUGCCUGCUUCUCCAUAGAAGGAAGGACAUAAGAGGGGCCUGGGAUUACAAGCCUUUCAUUCCAACGUUCUGGUGGGGGGUUAUUUAGGGGAAAAGAUUUGUGUGUAAGGUUGGCGAAGAUUCACAAUUAUCAUGUCCUGUGUACAGAAUGGUCCCUACCUUUCCAUUUAUUGUAUCUAGUUUCUUGGAGAGCUUUCCUAACUUAAUUUCUAUAGAGAAUAAAGCUCUGGUCUGUUGCUUUUGCUACAUUCUUUCAAGUGGUGCAUCAGUUUGCAGACACAUCAUUCACCCAAGAAUUUACAGGCAUGUAUGUGAUGUCUAUAAUUUCUGAGCAUUUGGGUAGUCUACAGUCUACAGCUGGAAUCAGCUCACUUCACAUCUGUGUCACCUUCUGCAGGUAUUUAGGCUUCCUGUUUCUCUGCUCUGCUAAGUCCGUAUCACGUGAUCAUCUACUUUCCAUUCCCCACCAGUUUAUUGAUAUUACUUCUCUGCUCUUAUCUCCUCUUUCUUUUCUUUUUCCUUUCUGGGUUUGUUCCUAUAUAUUCAAAUUAAUGAGGUUUUAGGAGAGAGGAGGGCUAAAUGGAUGUGUUCCAUAUGCCAUAUUUCUUCCUAACCCAUUUAUCAUAAAGCACAAAAAUUUCUGUAAUAAGCUUACAUAAGCUCAAAAGAAGUUAUGAAAUUGUGCUGCUAAUCUCCACUCUCUACUGAUUUUUUUUAAGCUUCCUCGCAUGGAGCAUAUUCAUUCACCUUCUAAACAUUUUUAUGUUGGUGCGACUUUAGUCUUAAUGCAUUAGAGAUUUUUACAUAUCGACAUGCAUUGAAUACCUGAUGUAUGUGACACCUGGGUUUGGUGCUGGAAAUAUUCUUUUAGACUCACUGUACGUAUUAUUCUUUUUGUUUCCCUCUCUUGGUUGGAGUCAUCUGUUCUAAGCACAUAAAUCUUUAGAACGCUUUCUAGUAGCUCCUAGCUUUAGUUUCCUUUGGGAAUUUCUGUUCAUACUGCAAUUAGUCUCAUGACUCUAUUGGUACUCUCUAGUUAUAGUGAUCAUAUUUUCUGAAUUAAAAAUUAGGAUCUAUUGUUUGAUGGUCUUCAAAAGAACUUUGUGUCCUGAUUUGAGAAUUUAUUUUAAUGAACAUAAAAAAAUCACAUCAUUCUUAGUUCAGUUUAGUAAACAUGUUUUGAAAUCUGGGUCAGUAUUAAGCUAGGAUGAAAAAUAAAGAUAUCUCUGUCUUGGAGAAGCUUAAAAUAUAAGUUCAUAGUUAAUAAAUUUCUUAUUUUGAAAGAGUACCUUUGCAGAAAAUCAGAACUGUUCUAGAACAUUUCAGGAGCAUGGUGAAAUGAGGUAAUGGUAUAGUUUGGUUAAUGAGUAACUGGAAUUAUUUCUGUAAAUGAACACCUAUCUUGGUGUAUUUUAUAUUUUACUUCAAGUGAUAAGAAAAUGAAUUCACCCUUUGAGGCUUAUAAUCAUGGGAUGACAAGCUGCAAAACUACUCACACGAAAACAAAAAAUUCCGCUAACUUAUCUUCUUAGCUUUAGGGCUAUGAGCAUAAAUAAUUCAAAAGAACUUCCAGUGAGCUUACUCUAAAGCCAUUCUAAUCAAACAAAAAGAAAUCCUGAAUGAAUUUUCCUCAUCCUAUAAAGACAGAAACAAUCCAUGUUCUUUAUGCCAUGAGUAAAUCACAUUGACUUGUUUAUAUUAAACCCAAGGCCCAGUUAUUUCAAUGUUUUCCCAAGUUAUAAUAGCUUUGGGUUCUGGUGGUGGCUACAGCUCUAGCCAUGUUUCUCAAUGACUUAAGGCAUUGAAUCAGUAAACUUGAAAUAAAUAAAUAAAGCUCAAGACAAAAAUUUGAACAAUUUCCCUAUACUUUAGCAGUCCCUGGACCACUGAUUCGUAAAGUAGAACUUAAUAGAAUAAUUGGAAAAAUGAAGUUCCUGUCAUGGCCAGUGGUUAAUGAACCCAACGAGUAUCCAUGAGGAUGGGUUCAAUCCCUGGCCUCACUCAGUGAGUUAAAGAUCUGGUGUUGCCAUAAGCUGUUGUGUAGGUUGCAGACAUGGCUCAGAUCCUGUAUUGCUGAGCUAUGGCAUAGGCCAGCAGCUACAGGUCCAAUUUGAUCCCUAGCCUGGGACCCUCCGUAUGCCAUAGGUACAGCCCCAAAAAGCCAAAAAUAAAAUAAAAUAAAAUAAAAUAAAAAAUUGAAAUUUAUUUUGAACUCCAUAGCUUUAAUGGAAUAACAUUAAUUCAUGGAAACUUUAGCUGAAAGAAUAAAAAACAGUUGGCUUUCUUUGUAAUAGACUCUAUUCAUACGAGCUAAUAAGCAGGGAGAGAGAUGGCACUAAAUAACGUUUUUGUGAUAUUAUGAUCAAUAACAAGUUUUUUAACUCUUCUAAAAAAAAGGAACCACACUACUUUAAAUGGAAGGGCUGUAGGUGUAUGCUUAAUAAAACCGAAUUCAAGCUUCCAUACCUUAUGUGAAGUUUGAGUAGAGAAGAGCAUCAACAGCUAUAAAAUUGGUAGAAUUCUAUGAAUGCUGUGCUCAUAUCUAUGUUUUGAAUACUGAGUGUUUUGUUGAAUAUUCUGUCGUAUUAGGAGAAAUGUUAUGUUUUUAAAAUUCAUUUCUUCAUGAGACUCAUAUCCAGUUUGACAGAAAGUCCAAACAUAGGGUUAAACAUCAUAUAACCUAGAAAGGAGUCCUAUCCCCAGAAAAUAUAUCAGGAAGGCCAUAAUAGGGCCAGGAACUGAGGUCCAGCCUAGAACCCUACUAGUCACACCAUGGGGAUGAUGGAGAUUCUCCCAUGAUGCCACUGCUUGUAUUUCUCAUAUGUUGAUUGAGAAAGUGCAUGAUUUCAUAAGCACUCUGAAUUUCCUGUUUAAAAUCAAUCUCUAUCUUCUUAAUUAAACCACACCUGUAAGCUUUAAAAAAACUGCAACAAAUACAUCAGGUUAUAUACUAUUUAUUUAUUCAGGUUGCCAAUCAUGGACUACACAUAUAUAGAUCAUUCAAGGAGCUCUUGCAAUUAAUUACCAUAGCACAUAGGGGGUCAGUUACUUAAGACUUAGUAAUCAUGAUCUAAAUUGCUUGGAUUUACUAAGAAAAUAUCAGUUUCAUCUCUGAUUUAUUUGUUUGUUGUUUUAGUUUGAAGGUGACUAUAUUUCCUGCCACUGAGUUAUAGCAUAAAUCACUGUCAUUUCUAGGGGGCACCUAUCACAGGGUAUACCUCCCAGUUAGUGGAAUGAUUUUGAAGAUGUAUUUCCAAGGUCUUUGCGGCCUUGUGCAGUCAGGCUUUUGUCUCCCUACUCUCCCUCCAAGGAGGAAAAAGUUGCUAAUUUGAUCAGUCUAAGCUUGAUAUAAUGAAUGGAUGUAGGCAGAGUUGUGUUUUCUGAAAGGUGGGGAUCCAUGUUCUUUGAUCCUUUUUUUUCAUUUAUUGCUUGGAAGAGGUAAGUAGAGUCAGGCAGGGCUUGAACCCUAAGGACAAGUCAUUCCUAGUCAUCUGAUUCAUAUUCUGUCUUUCUCUCUGCCAUUUACCAUCCCCUUCCCUCUUUCAGAAAGUGGCAAAUGUAUGUUCCUCAAAUACAGGUUCAAGAAGAAUUAUUUCCCCUCCCUCCCUUCCUUCUUCCUUUCCUUUCCUUUCCUUUCCUUCCCUUUCCUUCUUUCUAUCUCUCUUUCUUUCUUUCUUUCUUUCUUUCUUUCUUUUCUUUCUUUCUUUCUUUCUUUCUUUCUUUCUUUCUU